rnacentral:rRNA from 1 species
AUUGAACGCUGGCGGCCGGCCUAAAACAUGCAAGUCGAACGAGUGGCGGACGGGUGAAUAAUGUCUUGGAAACUGCCUGAUGGAGGGGGAUAACUACUGGAAACGGUAGCUAAUACCGAAUAACAUCGGUUGUGCCCAGAUGGGAUUAGCUAGUGGGGGGGGUAAAGGCUCACCUAGGCGACGAUCCCUAGCUGGGCUGAGAGGAUGACCAGCCAAACUGGAACUGAGACACGGUCCAGACUCCUACGGGAGGCAGCAGUGGGGAAUAUUGCACAAUGGGCGCAAGCCUGAUGCAGCCAUGCCGCGUGUAUGAAGAAGGCCUUCGGGUUGUAAAGUACUGUCAGCGGGGAGGCGUUACCCGAAGAAGAAGCACCGGCUAACUCCGUGCCAGCAGCCGCGGUAAUUC